rnacentral:rRNA from 1 species
UGCAAAUCAUUAUAAAUUGAUUUAUAAUUUAUUUAUUAAUUUUUUUUUUGAUUUUAUAUUUUAUUAUAUAAAUAUAUUAAUUUAUUUUUAUUAAAAGUAAUUAUAAAAAUAUUUGUUUUAGUAAUGUUUAUUGAAAAAAUAAAUUUAAUAAUAGUUAAUUUGUAUUGUGAAAGAUUAUUGAAAAAUUUUGAAAAAUUUUUAUUUUUAAAGAAAAAUUGAUUUUUUGUACCUUGUGUAUCAGGGUUUAUUAAAUAGUUAAUAAUUAUUUAUUAAUCUCGAUUUUAUAAGAGUUAAUAAUUUAUGAAAGUUAGUGUAUUAUAAUUAUUUUAAAUAAAUUAUUAGAAAUGAAAUGUUAUUCGUUUAUAAAGGUAUCUAGUUUUUUCAAAAAUAAAUUUAAUUUAAUAAUUUUUAAUUUUGUUAAUUAAUUUUAUAAAUUAAUAAAAUUAUUAAUUAAAAUAUUUUAAGGGAUAAGCUUUAAAAUAAAUUAUUAUAAAUUAAAUGAAUUAAUAUUUAAAAUAUAUGCUUAUAAUUAGCAAUUAUUAUAAAUUUUGUUAUAAAUUAUUUUAUAAUUAUAUUAUUUAUUAAUAUUUUAAUUUUUUUAUGAAAAUUUUUUUUGAAAUUUUAUUUUAAAAUAAAUAAUGGUAAAAUUAGUAUAUAUUUUUGUUACUAUAAUUUUGAUUGAUAAGUUUAUAUAAAGAACUCGGCAAAUAUUUUACUCGCCUGUUUAACAAAAACAUGUCUUUUUGAGUUAUUUUUAAAGUCUGACCUGCCCAUUGAAUUUAGUUUUAAUGGCCGCAGUAUUUUGACUGUGCAAAGGUAGCAUAAUCAUUAGUCUUUUAAUUGAGGGCUUGUAUGAAUGGUUGGACGAAGUAUAAUCUGUUUCAUAUAAAAUUAUCGUAGAAUUUUAUAUUUUAGUAAAAAAGCUAAAAUUUUAUUAAAAGACGAGAAGACCCUAUAAAUCUUUAUAAUUUUAUAUUAUUUUUAUUUUUUGGAUUUAUUUUAUUUUAAUAAUAUAAAUUAUUUUAUUGGGGUGAUAUUAAAAUUUAAAUAACUUUUAAUUUUAUAAAUCAUUUAUUUAUGAUUUAUUGAUCCAUUAUUAUUGAUUAUAAGAAUAAGUUACUUUAGGGAUAACAGCGUAAUUUUUUUGGAGAGUUCAUAUCGGUAAAAAAGUUUGCGACCUCGAUGUUGGAUUAAGAUAUAAUUCUAGGUGUAGUUGCUUAAAUGAUAAGUCUGUUCGACUUU